rnacentral:lncRNA from 1 species
UUCGACCUCUCAUCAUGUACAAAGAGGAUUCGGAGCUUUCUCAGAAAUUUAAUACCGCUUAUUAUCAUAGAUGCGGCCCACUUGAAGGGUGAAUUUAAAGGAACAAUGUUUUUGGCUGUUGGCAUGGACAGAAACAAUCAGAUUUUGCCUAUUGGUUAUGGCAUUGGUAAAUCUGAAGACGGUGAUUCGUGGAUGUGGUUCCUUUCAAAAUUGAAAGAAUGCAUCGGCGAGAAUCCAGAUUUGGCAAUCAUUUCUGACCGAGCAGCUUCUAUACAAUUAGCCGUACGAGUUGUGUUUCCAAGAAGCUUUCACAGGUUAUGUUUUCGUCAUUUGAUGGUCAACCUUUGUUUAGCGUC